rnacentral:rRNA from 1 species
GAUAACUCCGGAAUAGCCUUUCGAAAGAAAGAUUAAUACCGGAUGGCAUACGAAUAUCGCAUGAUAUUUUUAUUAAAGAAUUUCGGUUAUCGAUGGGGAUGCGUUCCAUUAGUUUGUUGGCGGGGUAACGGCCCACCAAGACUACGAUGGAUAGGGGUUCUGAGAGGAAGGUCCCCCACAUUGGAACUGAGACACGGUCCAAACUCCUACGGGAGGCAGCAUG